AGAGAUACCUUCCUCUAUCCCCCAUUGCCUUGUAAAUGGAAUGAGGCUUCUACUUUCACAAAGUAAUCACAGAACUGCAAUCAAGGAGUGAUGAACAUUACUACAUUUAAAGACCUUCAGGAUUAUAAACUUUGCACGGCUUCUUCAACAACCAUGGACUUUCUGGAAAAGCAAGAAUAACUGAAAUAAACUGGUGCUGUACUUGUCAUUCAGAAUGUACCUUGGACACGGACUGUCAAAAGCUUUUGCCGCUUGUCCUUCACCAUCAGUGGUGGGCCUUUCUCUCUAAGGGGGUGAGGUGCAGCAGCAUCUGUAGCGCAGCCCUGAAAUAUUCUGUGAAUAAAGUGAUGGUGUGCAAACA